rnacentral:ribozyme from 13 species
GAAACGAGAAGUGAGAAAAGAAGAGGAGGGAGAAGAAAUCUCAUUCUCUUCUUUCUUUUCUUUUCUCAUCUUUCUUUU